rnacentral:lncRNA from 1 species
AGGAUUUCACAACUUAUGAACUGCCUCUAAAGGUCAUUUACUUUCAGACAAUAUAAGCUCAUCUUCUCGUCUUUUCUUUCGAAAGACUCCUCGAUUUGCCUGACCACUAGCUGUGAUUCACUGAAAACUUUGACAUCCUCCAACUCGAGACUUUUUGCAAGUUCCAGGGCUAUGAUAACGGCUUCAUACUCUGCUUCAUUGUUGGUGGCCUCAAAUUCAAAUCUGAACGCACAUUGUAUUUCUGUAGCCUUGUCUGGGCUGGUGAUGACGACGCUGGCCCCAAGCCCAAGCUAUUGGAUGCUCCAUCUACAAAGAUCUCCCGUAUUUUCAAGGUCGUGCUGGGGUCGUUAAUCUGUGUUUUCGGGGUCUUCAGAGUGAGUUCUGCUAUGAAGUCAGCCAAAGCUUGGGCCUUGAUUGUAGGUCACGGCUUGAACUCUAUGUCAAAUUCACCAAGUUCAAUUGCCCAUCUCAACAGUCUUCCUGAAACGUUCGGCUUUUGGAGUAUGUGUCUAAGAGGUUGGUUGGUGAGUACCACAAUUGGAUGUGACUGAAAGUACGGCCGCAACUUCCUGGCAGCUAUUACCAAAGCAAGGGCCAGCUGUUCUACAAGUGUGUACCGUGUUUCUGUAUCAAGGAGUACUUUACUCACAUAAUAG